rnacentral:lncRNA from 1 species
GGCCUUUCUAGGAGCCAGCUUGCUUUCAUCUUACUGUUUUGAUUGUGCCUCACAAGGGACAACACUCCGAUUGUCUAGGAGGAGGAAGGUCAGGGACAGAAAAGUAAAAGCCAGGAGCAGCCUGUCCUGUCUGCCUGGGCUGCUGGGGAAUGAUUGUCAGUGAAUCGAGUUGUCUGUGGAGCCCCUGAGCAAAUUCUCCCAGUGGCAGAUCUCGCAAAAGGGGAGGAAGGCCUUCACCGCUGAACCCGAGCUUUGCCAUUUCGAAGUGCUGAGUCACCUCGUCCUCUCAGGGUCAGACACUUUCACGCAGGAAACGUCCUGCAGAGCACCGCAGCGGGAGCACCGAGCUGACCUGGAAGGAGAGAACAAGGGCCUUCCUGAGGCAGGACAAGGACCCAGAACUACCCAGAAUGCAGCAGGGCGGCCCCGCACGACUGAGCUCUGAUCCUAACCUGCAAAGUGAAGUUUCAAUUUCCACUUCCUGAGAAGAUGUGGAAACUCAGAGAGGAUGCCACUGUUUUGAACUAUUUUGAAGGCACAGCCACCAGAGCUUUAGGUGAGUGACUCUAUGCUUAUAGGCCCAAAUGUAUCUUCACCCCCUCUCACUCCCUGCGCUGUACAGUUUCCCAUUACCCAACAUGCACUUCUGUUAGCAGCUGACUCUUUCCUAAACCUAUUCCUCCAGGGACUUACUUAGCUAGACAACCAGCUUUUCAGUUUCUUCCUUAUUUUCCUACCUAACUUUAUUAAAUUAAAUUGUUUAUUUUUUGAGACAGGGUCUCACCUUGUAGCCCUGAAUGACUUGGAAUUUGCUGUGUAGACCAGGUUGGCUUUGAACUCACAAUUCUCCAUCUGCCUCUGUUCCCAAAUGCUGGGAUUAACAGUCUAUGUCACACAUACCUAGUCUUCCUUCCUAGCUUUCUAUUUUCAGGAAAUGUCUCUUGGGACUCAGUCUAUCAAGACAGGGGUGGAAGUGGAGCUGGCCAGUGGAGUGUUGGGACAAAGCUCUGAGUGGAGCCCUCGAGUUUAAAACGGAAUCUUAGAGAGGACGUGUUUACUCCUGCAUUAUAGAGCACGGACGCUCAUGACUCAGUUUGAUUUUCAUACACCGUUCUGCUCAUCACUGCCAAGUGGAGCAAUCCAGGCCUCUCAAAAUGUGCCAUACUACCUUCCAGCUAAAAGCUUUCUGUGGGGCUGGCGAGAUGGCUCAGCGGGUAAGAGCACCCGAUUGCUCUUCCGAAGGUCCAGAGUUCAAAUCCCAG